UACGUAGGGUCCGAGCGUUGUCCGGAAUUACUGGGCGUAAAGAGCUCGUAGGUGGUUUGUCGCGUUGUUCGUGAAAACUCACAGCUCAACUGUGGGCGUGCGGGCGAUACGGGCAGACUUGAGUACUGCAGGGGAGACUGGAAUUCCUGGUGUAGCGGUGAAAUGCGUAGAUAUCGAGAGGAACACCUGCGGCGAAGGCGGGUUGCUGGGCCGACACUGACGCUGAGGCGCGAAAGCCAGGGGAGCGAACGGG
rnacentral:rRNA from 1 species